rnacentral:rRNA from 1 species
CAGUCGCCGCGGUAAUACGGAGGAUCCAAGCGUUAUCCGGAAUUAUUGGGUUUAAAGGGUGCGUAGGCGGCAUGCUAAGUCAGGGGUGAAAGACGGUGGCUCAACCAUCGCAGUGCCUUUGAUACUGGUGUGCUUGAAUGCACAUGAGGUAGGCGGAAUGAGACAAGUAGCGGUGAAAUGCAUAGAUAUGUCUCAGAACACCAAUUGCGAAGGCAGCUUACUAAGGUAUGAUUGACGCUGAUGCACGAAAGCGUGGGGAUCAAACAGGAUUAGAUACCCCCGUAGUCCCUGUCUCUUAUAC